rnacentral:tRNA from 1 species
UAGCUCAGUGGUAGAGCACUUGUCUAAUAUAUAUGAGGCCCUGGGUUCAAUCCCCAG